UUUUAAAGCUAAAAGCACUGAAAGAAGAAACAGAGGGAGAGAAGAUUUUAUUAAGAGGGAGAACUGAGGCCGGAGUGUUGGAAGUUGCUGGUUAACCUGAAGAAACAGCUAGUCCCUGGUCAGACAUAAGAGUACUAAGAAUUGAAGUCUGUGGGGGGAGAGAAACCCAACCAUGAAGAAUACUUCUAAUCUCCUAUGAGAGAAUGAGUACCUGAAGAUGUCUGUGUGGUCUGAAAUAGUUCACGGCUACCCUAAUAUGCCUAAGAUGGACAAGCAUUUGCUUGGCCCUGAAGGAACAUGCUUCAUAUUCCUAGAGAAGUGCUUCAGUUUCCUUCCUUGAAAAAUUCAGGAGUAGGCUAAAGAACAUUGGACCACUCUAACCCCAUUUAUUAAAAUGAAAGAAUCAUUCAGUUAAUUCUGAGCAUUGAAUGGACGACUAUAAAAGCUCUAUAAUAAAACACUAAUAUUCUUCCA